UGAAAUCGGAAUUGGGUUUGGCUGUAG
rnacentral:misc_RNA from 1 species